UCAAAUAUUCAGUUCAAUUAUUAAAAUAAUAAAUCUUAACCAUAAACCAAUUAUUUUUAUAAAAAUAGCUGUAUCUUUAAUAUAUUAAUAUUGUAUAUAUUUGCUUUACAGUAAUUGUUCUUUUAUUCAGGUAUUUCAUUCUGUUAACAAAAUGUAGACAAAUUUCAGUAGAAAGGUACUAAUGGAUUCAAAAAUUUAAAUGUAUUACAAUUGUUAAGAAGUUUCAGGCUAUUAAUAAGGAAAAAGGUAAUCCAUUAUAUAUGUCAAAAACCAUUUAUACGUUUCCAUUUUUCGUUACCAAUGGUUAAUUGUUGCGUACAGAUAUAGAUUAAAUUCCCGUCUAUCCUACAUUCCCAACUUCCCAUUUACAAUGAUAGCUGCACCCGUCCCCGUUAUCCUAGAGCACCUUUUUUUAGUCUUUCUUUUUCCAUCUUUUACAGCUUCAGUUUCUUCUCUUCCCAAGACAUGGCCAAACUAUCUUAUUCUAUUUUCUCCCAUUUUUCUACUAUUGACGAAUAAUGUAUGAAAUGUAUUAGUAAAAUAUUACGGUCUUUUUUUUUCUGUUAGUUUUUUAUUUAAUAUCUAUUAAUUA